rnacentral:rRNA from 1 species
CCCUGGCUCAGGACGAACGCUGGCGGCGUGCCUAAUACAUGCAAGUCGAGCGAAUCAAUAGGAGCUUGCUCCUGUUGAUUAGCGGCGGACGGGUGAGUAACACGUGGGCAACCUGCCUGUAAGACUGGGAUAACACCGGGAAACCGGUGCUAAUACCGGAUAAUCCUUUUCCUCUCAUGAGGAAAAGCUGAAAGUCGGUUUCGGCUGACACUUACAGAUGGGCCCGCGGCGCAUUAGCUAGUUGGUGAGGUAACGGCUCACCAAGGCGACGAUGCGUAGCCGACCUGAGAGGGUGAUCGGCCACACUGGGACUGAGACACGGCCCAGACUCCUACGGGAGGCAGCAGUAGGGAAUCUUCCACAAUGGACGAAAGUCUGAUGGAGCAACGCCGCGUGAGCGAUGAAGGCCUUCGGGUCGUAAAGCUCUGUUGUUAGGGAAGAACAAGUACCGGAGUAACUGCCGGUACCUUGACGGUACCUAACCAGAAAGCCACGGCUAACUA